rnacentral:rRNA from 1 species
CGGAGGAAGGUGGGGACGAUGUCAAGUCAUCAUGGCCCUUACGGCCUGGGCUACACACGUGCUACAAUGGGCAGUACAGAGGGCAGCGAGGUCGCGAGGCCAAGCAAAUCCCUUAAAACUGUUCGUAGUCCGGAUUGGAGUCUGCAACUCGACUCCAUGAAGUCGGAAUCGCUAGUAAUCGUGGAUCAGCAUGCCACGGUGAAUACGUUCCCGGGCCUUGUACACACCGCCCGUCA